rnacentral:rRNA from 1 species
AGAGUUUGAUCAUGGCUCAGAUUGAACGCUGGCGGCAGGCCUAACACAUGCAAGUCGAACGGUAACAGGAAGAAGCUUGCUUCUUUGCUGACGAGUGGCGGACGGGUGAGUAAUGUCUGGGAAACUGCCUGAUGGAGGGGGAUAACUACUGGAAACGGUAGCUAAUACCGCAUAACGUCGCAAGACCAAAGAGGGGGACCUUCGGGCCUCUUGCCAUCGGAUGUGCCCAGAUGGGAUUAGCUUGUUGGUGGGGUAACGGCUCACCAAGGCGACGAUCCCUAGCUGGUCUGAGAGGAUGACCAGCCACACUGGAACUGAGACACGGUCCAGACUCCUACGGGAGGCAGCAGUGGGGAAUAUUGCACAAUGGGCGCAAGCCUGAUGCAGCCAUGCCGCGUGUAUGAAGAAGGCCUUCGGGUUGUAAAGUACUUUCAGCGGGGAGGAAGGGAGUAAAGUUAAUACCUUUGCUCAUUGACGUUACCCGCAGAAGAAGCACCGGCUAACUCCGUGCCAGCAGCCGCGGUAAUACGGAGGGUGCAAGCGUUAAUCGGAAUUACUGGGCGUAAAGCGCACGCAGGCGGUUUGUUAAGUCAGAUGUGAAAUCCCCGGGCUCAACCUGGGAACUGCAUCUGAUACUGGCAAGCUUGAGUCUCGUAGAGGGGGGUAGAAUUCCAGGUGUAGCGGUGAAAUGCGUAGAGAUCUGGAGGAAUACCGGUGGCGAAGGCGGCCCCCUGGACGAAGACUGACGCUCA